AUUGAACGCUGGCGGCAGGCCUAACACAUGCAAGUCGAACGGUAUCAGGAAGAAGCUUGCUUCUUUGCUGACGAGUGGCGGACGGGUGAGUAAUGUCUGGGAAACUGCCUGAUGGAGGGGGAUAACUACUGGAAACGGUAGCUAAUACCGCAUAACGUCGCAAGACCAAAGAGGGGGACCUUCGGGCCUCUUGCCAUCGGAUGUGCCCAGAUGGGAUUAGCUAGUAGGUGGGGUAACGGCUCACCUAGGCGACGAUCCCUAGCUGGUCUGAGAGGAUGACCAGCCACACUGGAACUGAGACACGGUCCAGACUCCUACGGGAGGCAGCAGUGGGGAAUAUUGCACAAUGGGCGCAAGCCUGAUGCAGCCAUGCCGCGUGUAUGAAGAAGGCCUUCGGGUUGUAAAGUACUUUCAGCGGGGAGGAAGGGAGUAAAGUUAAUACCUUUACUCAUUGACGUUACCCGCAGAAGAAGCACCGGCUAACUCCGUG
rnacentral:rRNA from 1 species